rnacentral:rRNA from 1 species
UAGGGAAUCUUCCGCAAUGGGCGAAAGCCUGACGGAGCAACGCCGCGUGAGUGAUGAAGGUCUUCGGAUCGUAAAACUCUGUUAUUAGGGAAGAACAAAUGUGUAAGUAACUAUGCACGUCUUGACGGUACCUAAUCAGAAAGCCACGGCUAACUACGUGCCAGCAGCCGCGGUAAUACGUAGGUGGCAAGCGUUAUCCGGAAUUAUUGGGCGUAAAGCGCGCGUAGGCGGUUUUUUAAGUCUGAUGUGAAAGCCCACGGCUCAACCGUGAAGGGUCAUUGGAAACUGGAUAACUUGAGUGCAGAAGAGGAAAGUGGAAUUCCAUGUGUAGCGGUGAAAUGCGCAGAGAUAUGGAGGAACACCAGUGGCGAAGGCGACUUUCUGGUCUGUAACUGACGCUGAUGUGCGAAAGCGUGGGGAUCAAACAGG